rnacentral:tRNA from 1 species
GGGCCCAUGGUCCAGUGGUAAGACGCCACAUUCGCAUUGUGGAGAUGAGAGUUCGAUUCUCUCUGGGUCCACCA